rnacentral:lncRNA from 1 species
UGGCUAAUUUAAGUGGAGACUUAAGCAGCUUAUGUGGCAUAAAAAACUAUUUUUUAUUAAUUACAUAAACAAAUUUGUUUAAAUAAAGGGCAAAAUCGUCAAAACACCUUACAUCUCUCUCCCUAUUUUUCUCUCUCCCAGAAAGUCGAGAGCCACCACAACCGCCGCCGCACCAGAAAGUCUCCGAUCAAGAAUGACCCAGCCGCCGGUAAUUCCGCCGGAGAGGAAAACAAAACAAAAAAACUCAAACAAAUAUCCUUCAAUCGAUCGGCAAAAAACCCCCCACUCUUUUGAUCGAUAUAUAUACACUAGGAAAAGAAAAAGUUCUCCAUCAUUUCUUUUCAACAAAUAUGCAGCAACAUCACAGAAACUUUAGAGUAUGUAUAUAGCAUCGGCCAGUGGGAUCUGACUAAUGAGUGGAAGCUUUAGAGUUGAUUAUAAAAUCGCAGAAACUUACUUGUACUGUUGGGGACAUGGCCGAUCCAAGUUCAUAAGCCAUAUCGUUGUUAAAACUCUCUCUGUUCUACGAAAAAAAAAUCUGAUUUAUAGUAUUUGUCAAUAAUGCUCUGAUUUAUAGUAUUCUCCAUUAUCAAGCAGACAAACACUGGGGAAAGAAAAAGGAAAAAGGAAAAAGGAAAAACAGAAAAGAGAAAUUUGCAGCAACAUCGCACCCAUCAUUCACCAUUAUUGAGCAGACCAGUGUUGGAGAAAGAAAAAAGAAAAACAAAAAAAUAGUGAGAAAUUUUAGAUCUGCGGCUGUCAAAAUGUCAUCGCCCCUAUUCUGCCGCCGCGCAAGCUUGGAAAAGCUCCGAAAAAGUAUGACUUCCAUCCCAUAGAUCUAUUAAUAACUUAAAAAAUUAGUCAAUUUCUGCUAUAAGAAUUAUUGUUGAAUAUGAAAAGUUCAUAGAAGAUGUAAACAAGCAAUUUAGUGACUUAUCGAUCAAAACCUUGAGACGAUUUCCAUGGGGGAGAGAAGGAUAUCGUUUCUGCAAUUAACGAAGACAAUGAUUGAUUUUUGGAUGGUAGUGCACUUGACAACGAUUGUUUUGUUACUGAAUUUUUGGAUGAACGGGAUGAGGAGAUUUGUCUGAGAUUUGAUUCUCAGAUCUAGAUUUUUGGAUGAACGGGAUGAGGAGAUUUUUGGAUGAAUUUUUGGUACACUUGAUUUGAUUCUGAGAUUUGUCUGAGAUUUUUAAUUUUGGUUAUGUUGUUUUACACUUUUGC